AGCAAAGCCGCGAGGUAGAGCAAAUCUCAAAAAAACAAUCUCAGUUCAGACUGCAGGCUGCAACUCGCCUGCACGAAGUCGGAAUUGCUAGUAAUCGUAGGUCAGCAUACUACGGUGAAUACGUUCCCGGGCCUUGUACACACCGCCCGUCAAACCAUGAGAGUUGGCAACACCCGAAGUCGGUAGUCUAACCGCAAGGAGGACGCCGCCGAAGGUGGGGUUGAUGAUUAGGGUUAAGUCGUAACAAGGUACC
rnacentral:rRNA from 1 species